UACGUAGGGUGCGAGCGUUGUCCGGAAUUAUUGGGCGUAAAGAGCGUGUAGGCGGCCAGAUAGGUCAGCUGUGAAAACUCGAGGCUCAACCUCGAGACGUCGGUUGAAACCAUCUGGCUAGAGUCCGGAAGAGGAGAGUGGAAUUCCCGGUGUAGCGGUGAAAUGCGCAGAUAUCGGGAAGAACACCCGUGGCGAAGGCGGCUCUCUGGGACGGUACUGACGCUGAGACGCGAAAGCGUGGGGAGCGAACAGG
rnacentral:rRNA from 1 species